rnacentral:rRNA from 1 species
AUUGAACGCUGGCGGCAGGCUUAACACAUGCAAGUCGAGCGGGGGAGGGUAGCUCGCUACCUAACCUAGCGGCGGACGGGUGAGUAAUGCUUAGGAAUCUGCCUAUUAGUGGGGGACAACAUUCCGAAAGGAAUGCUAAUACCGCAUACGCCCUACGGGGGAAAGCAGGGGAUCUUCGGACCUUGCGCUAAUAGAUGAGCCUAAGUCGGAUUAGCUAGGUGGUGGGGUAAAGGCCUACCAAGGCGGCGAUCUGUAGCGGGUCUGAGAGGAUGAUCCGCCACACUGGGACUGAGGCACGGCCCAGACUCCUUCGGGGGGCAGCAGUGGGGAAUUUUGGACAAUGGGGGGAACCCUGAUCCAGCCAUGCCGCGUGUGUGAAGAAGGCCUUUUGGUUGUAAAGCACUUUAAGCGAGGAGGAGGCUACCGAGAUUAAUACUCUUGGAUAGUGGACGUUACUCGCAGAAUAAGCACCGGCUAACUCUGUGCCAGCCGCCGCAGUAAAAC